AUUGAACGCUGGCGGCAUGCUUUACACAUGCAAGUCGAACGGUAACAGGCCUUCGGGUGCUGACGAGUGGCGAACGGGUGAGUAAUGCAUCGGAACGUGCCCAAUCGUGGGGGAUAACGUAGCGAAAGUUACGCUAAUACCGCAUAAGCCCUGAGGGGGAAAGCAGGGGAUCGCAAGACCUUGCGCGAAUGGAGCGGCCGAUGUCAGAUUAGCUAGUUGGUGGGGUAAAGGCCUACCAAGGCGACGAUCUGUAGCGGGUCUGAGAGGAUGAUCCGCCACACUGGGACUGAGACACGGCCCAGACUCCUACGGGAGGCAGCAGUGGGGAAUAUUGCGCAAUGGGCGAAAGCCUGACGCAGCCACGCCGCGUGAGUGAUGAAGGCCUUCGGUUGUAAGACUCUGUCGGGAGGGAAGGAAGGGACGCGAAGACCUGACGGUACCUCGCAAGAAAGACACCGGCGUAACUACUGUGCCAGCAG
rnacentral:rRNA from 1 species